ACUCCUAAACAAAAAUCCCCAGUCUUUGACUCACACCAAAAUCCCCAAAUCAGCCGCCUGACCUAGCCUCCUCCUCGAGCACCCUUCCCCCCCGCCGCCGCCUACCCUCCGCAGCUGCCGACCGCCUACCCUCCGCAGCUGCCGACCGCCUACCCUCCGCCACACCUGAGUGCCACCUCCCUCCCUGACCACGCCGCCCUAGUGCCAUCCAUCCCAGACCACUCCCCCGAGCACCCUCCGCCGCCCCGACGACCAUUCGCCACCAGCCCCGCCGCUCCCUGGAGAUCCUCCAUCGAGCAGCGCCGUCGCUUCCAGGAGAUCCAGCCCGAGAAGCGUCGCUGCUUCCAGGAGCUCCUGGCACGGGCAGCGUCGCUGUUUCCAGAAGCUCCGUCCCGCCACGUCUUCGUCCUCUCCCCCAAGAGCGCCGACUACAUCCUCUCCCCCGAGCAGAUGCCGCUUCUGCGUUCUUUCACACGAGCAGUGCCGCGUCGACUACAUCCCGGUCUCCUCUACUUCCUCACCCCAACCCGUGAGAUUUCUCUUUGUCCUAUGAGUUUUAUUAGUCUCAGGUGUGUAUUCUGUGAUGUGUGAUCUGUGGACAGAACAAGGGCUAUAGUUUUUGAUAAUUUCUUGAAUCAUUAGAUAAAAACUACUUACAAUAGAGUUUAAAGAAAUAAGGCAAAGAUAGUAGACUCCAAUAUGAAUGAGGUUUAAUUGAAUCAUCGGAUAGAAAGUGAGGUACUGAAAGUAGAUCAUAACCACAUGUGUAGGCGUUUCAGCAUUCAGUCUAUUACUUGCAUCUUAGGAUUUAUGUGAUGCAGAUUGCUCUGUACUUUUAUGAGCAAGUCAGUGUUAUUACAAGCUACAGCCUUUUCAGUUAAAGCUAGAUCAAGAAAAGCAAAGUGGCACGCUCUGCCUCUAAAUUUUAUUUUCCAUAGUCAAUAAAUUACAAGUGGCUAGUACCUUUAAUAACAUGAAUGCAGAUUUUGUAAGCUAGCUAGGCCAUAGUUACACUUCCUAUCUCGGUCAUACAUUGGGCAAACUUUUUGUUUGGAUAUGUACUGCACUGGUUGUGCUCUGGAAGUCACUACAGAAAAUUGUAACGAUUGUGAGUUUUAUUUCGAGAAGAUUUGUGAACAGUUUACAGUUCUAGGGCAAUUGUUUGGGUAUCUCAAAAUGUGGCAUAUAGCUUGGAUGAUACUGUAUCAUGUGCAGAGUUCUAAGCCCUCUAUUCUAAUUUCUUGAUUUCUUCCAUAGUUUAGGUAUUAGUAUUACUGCUUAGAUGUGAUGUGAACAAGAACUAAUGUGCCAUGCCCACUCACGCCCGGUGCACGUAUAGCUUCAGGAUAUGAAUGUGAUUAUCCGAGGAUCCAUGUUGCUUAAAUUCUUUCAUUUAUCAUGGUUGUACCAUUGAUUUGGUCCCUCAAUUUGUAUGUUAAAUUAUGUAAUUGGUCUUUGUCUCCUUUGAGAAGCGCGCCUCCUCCUCAUCCUCUCCACCAAGCAGUGCUGCUUUGACUACGUCGUCUGCCCUGGGUAGCACCUCGUCUACAUCCUCGCCCAAAACUGCACCGCCUACGUCCUCUGCUUCACCGCCUGAUCAGCCCUGCCUCCUCUCCUUCUCAACCGACGAUGAGAUUUCUUUGCUAUUUCUAUCAUUCAUCCCUAGUAAUCGUGUAAUGGGCCCUGCUAUGGUGUUGAAAUUUUGCGGCUAACCUCGAUAUCUUAAUUCUCUUCAUGUUCACUUGAUUAAUUCAGUGCAUGCUAAACUAUUUUUAUGCGAGUUCUUGUGAUAAGUACUGCAUUGGAAUACGUUCUUUGCCAAAAUGUAGAGCAUGUAGACAAUUUUGUGUACAACGAGAAAUCUAUGUGCCUCUCCAAUGAUUUUUUUACCAAAUGGUACAUUUUGAAUACUUUAUUGGAUUAUAGAUGACAUUGUUGCCCAUACUCUGCUUAGAUGAUGCUAGACUCGUUGUUUGCUUUAUGACAAGUUCUUGUUCAGGCCAUUCUGCAGAAAGCCCUUUAUAUUUGACCUAAAUCCUUUCAGUAAAUAAUCCUUAUAUGCAUCUAAAUUGGUACAGCUUGAAAGAAACUAAGCGUACACUUUAAAAUUAUCUGAAUUUGUAUCAGACUGAAACAGUGCAGCCUGUUGUUUGUAUCGGUGUUGCCCUUUUCAUUAUAACUGGUUCAUAGUUUUCAAGUUUGGUUCGUAAUGACUGGUCUUUCAAAAAACUGAGCGCACAAUCCAGUGAGCAUCCAGUUUCUUGUUCGCUAAAUGCACAACAUACAAAAACUAAACAAUGGCUUAUCUAUGGACUGAAGUUGCAUGAUUCUGGUACUAAGCCGAGAGCAGACAGAGAUCAAGGCUCUUCUAAUAGUGUGUAUUCAAUGGAUUGAACGCAGGCAAGCUACCAAAGAAAAAGAGAAAGAUGCCGAGGUCCUGCGGUGGCUAGGGUUGUGCGCACUGGUGUUGCCUAUGCGAGCGACACGGGGUGAGCAACUAGGAACCAAAAGAUGCCGACAGUAUUGAGUAGUCAGAUCAGCAAACCUGUGUUGGUAGUUCCAUCACUGAAACGAGGUACACCUGUAGUUUGUCACGAGCUUGCCAAGCUUGUAAGUUUUGUCACGAGGAGGAGAUUGUUAGAAUGCUACAGAACUUCUACUACAUGAUAGUAGUUGGACCAGUCAACUAGGAUGCCUACAUGAUGUUUCUUGUAUUCAUAGCAACAACAGAAUCAUGUGGGGCGAGGUUAAGCUGUGAUCUUCAAAACAUUGCAAGUUUGGUGACUCUUCUGCGAGAGACAUGUGGCCCUCUUUGAAGGAUGCAGUUUCACAGGAUGGUGGCGAGUCAGUUAUUCACAAGACAUCUAAUAAAGCCAUCCAACAAACGGCUGCGAACGAGCAAUUUGUCUUCCUGAACAUGGCUGUAGCUGUGCGUCAAGCUCAAACCAUUUGUUUAUCUUAGUUUGAACAAAAGAAAUCUUAUUGUCUUAUGUAAAUUCUGUUUACCGAUGUAGUUGGAUGCUACCAAAUGGAUCUUUGAAUGUUGAAAUACUGAUGUUUUGAGUCA